CCUACGGGAGGCAGCAGUGGGGAAUUUUGGACAAUGGGGGCAACCCUGAUCCAGCCAUGCCGCGUGAGUGAAGAAGGCCUUCGGGUUGUAAAGCUCUUUCGGCCGGAACGAAAUCGCGCACGUGAAUAACGUGCGUGGAUGACGGUACCGGAGUAAGAAGCACCGGCUAACUACGUGCCAGCAGCCGCGGUAAUACGUAGGGUGCGAGCGUUAAUCGGAAUUACUGGGCGUAAAGCGUGCGCAGGCGGUUCGCUAAGUCAGACGUGAAAGCCCCGGGCUUAACCUGGGAACGGCGUUUGAAACUGGCGGGCUCGAGUACGGCAGAGGGGGGUGGAAUUCCACGUGUAGCAGUGAAAUGCGUAGAUAUGUGGAGGAACACCGAUGGCGAAGGCAGCCCCCUGGGCCGAUACUGACGCUCAUGCACGAAAGCGUGGGGAGCAAACAGGAUUAGAUACCCUGGUAGUCCACGCCCUAAACUAUGUCAACUAGUUGUCGGGGAAGCAAUUCCUUGGUAACGCAGCUACGACGUGAGUGACCGCCGUCGGGAGGUACGGUCGCGAGAUAAACUACAAGAAGUAGACGGCGUGAGAGUGCCGACGGACGACGACGAGGGAGGUAGG
rnacentral:rRNA from 1 species